UACGGAGGGUGCAAGCGUUGUCCGGAAUCACUGGGCGUAAAGGGCGCGUAGGCGGCUCAUGAAGGCUGUGGUGAAAGUCCGGGGCUCAACCUCGGAUCGGCCGUGGCGACUCGUGGGCUGGAGCACUGUAGAGGCGGGUGGAAUUCCGGGUGUAGCGGUGGAAUGCGUAGAGAUCCGGAAGAACACCCGUGGCGAAGGCGACUUACUGGACACAUAUUGACGCUGAGGUGCGAAAGCGUGGGGAGCAAACAGG
rnacentral:rRNA from 1 species